UGUGAAUCAAAAUUGAGUGUUAGUGCAGAUUCGUUCAUACGACACAAGGGCACUAUUUUGUUGAACGUAUCAUUUCGGCUUAGAGGACUGGUUAUUCAUUUAACAUCUCCAGACUUAUCAGAAAGUUACAGUCAGGUCCAGCUGUUAAAUCUUCAUACUAGUAUUCAACAACUGACCUAUGUACAUCGAUGAUGAAGUUACAAUCUGGACAAGAUCUGACAGACGCAAUUAAGUGAAUCGACAUUGUGACGGUUGUUUUAUCGAAAUUAUGUUAUUAACGGUAUAUGGUGAUUAAAAUGUAUUUAACAAAUUACAA